rnacentral:misc_RNA from 1 species
AUAUUUUGAAUUAAGUAUAUUCAUAAUAUGUUAUCAGACAGAUUCGUUAUGAGAAUAAGAGUUUAGUUAAAAGCCAUCCCUCGCUGUAGCGUAAACUACUUGAUGGACGACCCAACAUUGCACACAAGGUGGGUAUGGAUUUUAAAAAGUGCCAUAAAACACUUAUUGUGAAUGAUCCUUCCGCAGGUUCACCUACGGAAA